GCAUUGGUGGUUCAGUGGCAAAAUUCUCGCCUUCCAUGUGGGAGACCCAGGUUCAAAUCCUGGCCAACAUA
rnacentral:tRNA from 1 species